rnacentral:snRNA from 1 species
AUGCUCUAUUCAGCAGCACAUACACUUAAACUGGAAUGAUACAGAGGAGAUUAGCAUGGCCCCUGUGUGAGGAUGACAUGCAAAUUAGUGAAGUGUUCCAUAUCAUG